rnacentral:rRNA from 1 species
GUUAGCCUACGGGGGGCAGCAGUGGGGAAUAUUGCACAAUGGGGGAAACCCUGAUGCAGCGACGCCGCGUGAGUGAAGAAGUAUUUCGGUAUGUAAACUUCUUUUAUCAGGGACGAAGGAUGUGACGGUACCUGAUGAAUAAGCUCCGGCUAACUACGUGCCAGCAGCCGCGGUAAUACGUAGGGAGCAAGCGUUAUCCGGAUUUACUGGGUGUAAAGGGCGCGUAGGCGGGAUGGCAAGUCAGAUGUGAAAUCCGGGGGCUCAACCCCUGAACUGCAUUUGAAACUGUCGUUCUUGAGUACUGG